UACGGAGGGUGCGAGCGUUAUCCGGAUUUAUUGGGUUUAAAGGGCGCGUAGGCGGCUUGGCAAGUGGGUGGUGAAAUCCCUCGGCUUAACCGAGGAACUGCCGUCCAAACUGCUUCGCUUGAGACCGGGAGAGGUGAGUGGAAUUCCCAGUGUAGCGGUGAAAUGCGUAGAUAUUGGGAGGAACACCAGUGGCGAAGGCGGCUCCCUGGACCGGUACUGACGCUGAUGCGCGAAAGCGUGGGGAGCAAACGGG
rnacentral:rRNA from 1 species